rnacentral:lncRNA from 1 species
GAGAGAGAGAGAGGGGUAACAUUUUAGAGAAAAAAAUUAUUUUGAUGGUGAAAAAAUAUUUUAUUGAUUGUCUUGACAUUAAAAAAAAAGAGAUUUUAAGUGAUUUUAAGUGUUAAAAGUAGUAUAUUUUGUAAGACAUUAGAUUGGCCGCUUAUUUGCAAGAUUUUUAUGUAUUUAUAGAUAUGCUUGAAUUAUUUCUAGUUUAAAGUUUUAUAGUUUAAAAAAAUAUAGAUUUAUGCACCAUUCUAAAAUUUUUU